rnacentral:rRNA from 1 species
UACGUAGGGUGCGAGCGUUGUCCGGAAUUAUUGGGCGCAAAGAGCUCGUAGGCGGUGUGUCACGUCGGCCGUGAAAACCUGCAGCUUAACUGUGGGCGUGCGGUCGAUACGGGCAUCACUGGAGUUCGGCAGGGGAGACUGGAAUUCCUGGUGUAGCGGUGAAAUGCGCAGAUAUCAGGAGGAACACCGGUGGCGAAGGCGGGUCUCUGGGCCGAUACUGACGCUGAGGAGCGAAAGCGUGGGGAGCAAACAGG